rnacentral:rRNA from 1 species
GAAUCUUUGAACGCAUCUUGCGCUCCUUGGUAUUCCGAGGAGCAUGCCUGUUUGAGUGUCAUUAA